rnacentral:lncRNA from 1 species
UUUUAUGAUUUUUGUUUGGGUUGCAACCUAUUCUUAUUUUAUACACAAUUAUAAGAAUUAUCAUCGGGGUUUGCUCAUGGGGUUCACCUAUUAUCAGCCGCUAGAUUAGACAAAAUCAAUGGACCAGAGUUCUUGUCUUUCUUCAUCUUUCUGAUUGGAUGUUAUAUUUAUCACGCUGAUCACGAUCUGAGCUAUAGAUUUGAUAAAAUCAACGGACCAAAUCUUUUGGUUUUCUUCCGAUCACUCCCUUCCUUCCUUCCAAUUCCAAACCCUAAAACUAUACCCUAUACCCCAAACCUUUUUCAUAAAUUAUUAAUGUUUGAUAAACAAAUAAGAAUUUUACUUAUGUAAAUUUAUUUAUUUAAAUAUCAUCAAACAUUUUUUUGUAUAAUACUUAUUCUAUAAAACCUUAAUCUUGUAAUUUAUAUCUAAAUAUAAUAUAAUUUCUAUAAUUGAUCAUAUGCAAACCAUUACGAAUGAUAUUUUAUCUACGUGCACUACUUUUAGAAUAAUAUUUUGUGUUAAGUUUUAGAGUUAAGUUUUAUUCCUGAGCAUUUAUUCUUUAUUAAAGACUAUUAUUUAUUUCAAAUACAAAAGCUUUAAUGUUUAGUAUUUGGGAAAAAAUAGAGUUAUUUCUGAAUAUGGAAAUGUGUCAAACACUACAAAGAUGUACCGUGUGAUAAAUAGAUGGUACAUGUACGAUGUAUAUGGUGGUGACAUCAUAGUCGGAUUUCUAAAUUGAUUUUAGUUAUGGGGCGAGUCCGUAAUUAAUAAACAUAAUUUUUUUUUCACAACCUAUUAUCAGUCGCCGGAUAAGACAAAAUCAAUGGGCCAGAGUUCUUGUCUUUCUUCAUCUUUCGUGAUUGGCUGCUACAUUUAUCACGCGGAUCACGAGCUAUAGAUUUGACAAAAUCAACGGACCGGAUCUUUUGGUUUUCUUCCGAACACUCCCUUCCUUUUAUUCUCCAAAUUGUCUAUGUAUUCCUUUCGUUCAAUCCCAAACCCUAAACUAUACCCUAUACCCCAAACAUUUUUUCAUAAAUAAUUAUUGUUAAAUAAACAAAUAAGAAUUUUAAUUAUAUAAAUUUACUUAAAGAACGUCAAACUUUUAAAUUUUUUUUAUAAUACUAUCUCUAUCAAAACUUUGAUCUCGUAAUUUAUGUCAUAAUAUAAUUGUUCAUAUGUAAAAUC